CCUACGGGAGGCAGCAGCAGGGAAUAUUGCACAAUGGGCGAAAGCCUGAUGCAGCGACACCGCGUGCGGGAUGACGGCCUUAGGGUUGUAAACCGCUUUCAGGAGGGAAGAAAUUGACGGUACCUCCAGAAGAAGCUCCGGCCAACUACGUGCCAGCAGCCGCGGUAAUACGUAGGGAGCAAACGUUGUCCGGAUUUAUUGGGCGUAAAGGGCUCGUAGGCGGUUCAACAAGUCGAUCGUGAAAGCCCGGGGCUCAACCCCGGGAUGCCGGUCGAAACUGUUGUGACUAGAGUUCGGUAGAGGUGAGUGGAAUUCUCGGUGUAGCGGUGGAAUGCGCAGAUAUCGAGAGGAACACCAUUAGCGAAGGCGGCUCACUGGGCCGAUACUGACGCUGAGGAGCGAAAGCGUGGGGAGCAAACAGGAUUAGAAACCCUGGUAGUCCACGCCGUAAACGAUGAACACUAGGUGUAGCGGACUGAUUCACGUCUGCUGUGCCGUAGCUAACGCAUUAAGUGUUCCGCCUGGGGAGUACGGCCGCAAGGCUAAAACUCAAAGGAAUUGACGG
rnacentral:rRNA from 1 species